AGAUCUGCGAGCUAUUUGGAUAUGUGGAAAAGGAGGGAGCUUGAUUCGAAACAGGUUUUUGGUUGUUAUUUUUGGUGUGAAACAUUGAUCUGAUAUUCUGAUUCUUUGUCAAAGUGAAAAGGAUGUUGGGAGGACUCUAAAAUAAGGGAUCUUUGCCAGGUUAGUUGGGCUCUAAUACUAAAGUACACUAUUAGUGGUGUUGUUGUACCCGUGAAAUAACUCCCAAUCUGGUAUAGUUGAGCUGUGUAAUUGGAAUUUGGUUUGCCUUGUUCUUUUUUCCUUCUCCCCAGUUUGUUCUCCUUAUCUAUAAUAUCUCUCUCCUUUCUAUUGAAAUUUCUUUUACUUGUUCAAAAACAAAUCAGGCCUUGUUUUUGGAGGUGAGGACAACAUACCUACUUUCUUGGCUCGUCACACGAUUCCUGGACUUUGUAUUGUGGUUGAUCCAUGUGCAGCACUAUUAGUUGUGUAAUAGUCACUGUUCUCUUGUGGUCUUUCUAGCCUAUAUAUACUUAU